UGCCCCUCUGGGAGCACUGUGAGAGGGGAGAAGCCAUUUGGGGGAGUCUGGAGCCAGCCCCCGGCCUGUGAUCCUCAGUCCCUCUGCAAUGGCUGAGGAGUCCAGAUCCAUCUCUGAAUCUGAGGAUCACUGCUGGAGUUGAGGAGUGCAUGCAUUGGAGUGUCUUAUUUUGCACCAGGAACCCAUUGUGCUAGGCACUGAACAAACAGAGUUUGUAAUCUGCCUUUACCAUUUGCACAGAAAGAGACACAGGCAACCAGUGUGGACUGGAGAAAGAGG